GUGAAGUCCAUAGCUGAAUGUCUUGGGGCAUGUGUGGGGGCAAGACUGGAUGCGUAAAGUGAGCACUGUGUUCUACUCUUUGCAGGCUUCCUUGCUGUAUCCCACUGAAGGGGAUAAGAAGAAGGGGUCACUGGGACUGUCUUUGAUCCCCCAGUUACGCAGGGCAUUGUAGCAGUGCUGCAGGAUCUCGGAAAAGCUCUCUGCAGCUGGAUGUGCAAGAGUCCCAGGAGAUGAGGCCCGGAUCCAGCAGCAGAAGCAAGGACAUGGAAUAUCAACAUACAGGACUUACUGGCUACCCUCUUGCCAAGAGGAUUUCUCUGGCAAAUCCUUCUGUGCUCCUGCCCUCCAAGCCAAUGCCCCUCAUCCCAAGGAGCUCUUCCAAGCCAAUGAAGAGUUGCAGUGGAGAGCACGUUACUGGGAAAAGUGGCACUGGCAAUGACGAUGACACCAGAAAAGAACAGGAGUCACGUUCAGAGGGAAAAGGACGUAAGGCUUCCUUGCUGUAUCCCACUGCAGGGGAUAAGAAGAAGGGGUCACUGGGACUGUCUUUGAUCCCCCAGUUACGCAGGGCAUUAAGCAGUGCUGCAGGAUCUCGGAAAAGCUCUCUGCAGCUGGAUGUGCAAGAGUCCCAGGAGAUGAGGUCCACGACCCAGCAGCAGAAGUGAAGAUGAUGAAUCUGAAGAAGGAGGACUUACUGGCUACCCUCUUGCCAAGAGGUUUUCUCUGGCAAAUCCUUCUGUGCUCCUGCCCUCCAAGCCAAUGCCCCUCAUCCCAAGGAGCUCUUCCAAGCCAAUGAAGAGCUGCAUCGGAGAGCACGUUACUGGGAAAAGUGGCACUGGCAAUGACAAUGACACCAGAAAAGAACAGGAGUCAUGUUCAGACGGAAAAGGACGUAAG
rnacentral:lncRNA from 1 species